ACAUUGGGGACAUUGGGGACAUCCCCAGGGGGGGACUUGGGGACAUUGGGGACACCCCCAGGGUGACAGGGACAUGGGGGACACCCCCGGGGGUGACAGGGGAUGGCACAGGGGGUGUCACAGAGGUGUCACAGCGCAGCAGGCGUCUCGUGUCCUGGUGGGGGAAGCGGGUGACACACAGGUGACACACAGGUGACAGGGGUGUGACACUGACCUGAGCAGUGUCCGUUUGUCCCUCCGGUACCAGCGCAGCAGCAGCAGGUGCAGGGGCAGUCCCGUCAGGGUGACACAGGGGUGACACGGGGGUGACACAGGGGUGACACACAGGUGACAGGGGUGUGACACUGACCUGAGCAGUGUCCGUUUGUCCCGCCGGUACCAGCGCAGCAGCAGCAGGUGUAGGGGCAGCCCGGUCAGGGUGACACAGGGGAUGAUGGGGUGACACAGGUGACACAGGGAGGUGACAGGGGUGUCACACUGACCUGAGCAGUGUCCGUUUGUCUCUCCGGUACCAGCGCAGCAGCAGCAGGUGUAGGGGCAGCCCGGUCAGGGUGACACAGGGGUGACACAGGGGUGACACAGGUGACACACAGGUGACACACAGGUGACAGGGGUGUCACACUGACCUGAGCAGUGUCCGUUUGUCCCGCCGGUACCAGCGCAGCAGCAGCAGGUGUAGGGGCAGUCCCGUCAGGGUGACACGGGGGUGACACGGGGGAUGAUGGGGUGACACAGGUGA